AUUCCUCGCUGAAAACAUCAAUUUAAUUUGCAGAAUAACAGGUUUAGAAAAAAAUCUUUAUUUGCUAGGAUGCGGAAAACACGUGACGAGAAUUCGAUUUUCUUCUUCAUUAGUUCGCGCACCUCAGCAGCGGUAGUUUAACUCUAUCACUAAUUAUUGUAUGGAAGUGCUAAAAGAUCCAUUAUGUGAAAAAAUAUCCAAUACACAAUUUGUGAUUUUCUUUUGAAUGGUUUAUAAAUUGAUGCACUUAUGUUCGAUACUUUAAUACUGGAUGAUUUGUGGUUGAUUGCAGAUCCUUGAUUAAAGACGACAUGAAGGAUGUUAACUGGUGACAUAUUUGCCGUAUAAAUCAACUAAUUGUGGUUAGGUUUAUUCCGCCUUGUGCCAUGUGAACAGCUUCUAACUAAUGAUAAACAGGUUGGUACAAAGUAUAGCCAAGAAAUGAAAUGGAUGAAUAAUGAUAACUUUAUCAAAAUGAUUUGGUUGUGGACGCCGUUGUUUGCCAAUUUUACAAAAGUAAAUUCAACAAGGAGUAACAAUGUCAAGUAUGACGUAAUGAACGACCAAUCAAUGGACGAUUCAGUUAUGACGUUACCUACACAACCAUCUAAUUACGAUCAUCUGUUAAAAGUUCGUCUGCUGGCGCUAACAACGUCUUCCAUUGCCAUUGAGUGGAAUUAUGAAGAAACUGUUUUUAGCAAUAAAACAAUGCUUGGAUCAAAAGUGGAAUAUUUUCUAAAUAGUGGUAAAUUUUCUUCCGAUAUGUUACAACCGCAUAUACAUUCUUUUACGUGUGAGCAUUUAAAAGUUGCAACAAAAUACACCAUUUGCAUUUCUGUGUAUUUAAGUGAGCUUGUAUAUUUAAGGGAGGACGACUCCAUUGUUUUAUCAAAAUGUUUCGGAGCUGAAACAAUACCAUACAUUCGUAAUGAUUCUAUUUUAGUUCUUGUUAUUUUACUUUCAUAUUAUUUAUUUAUGGGAAUGAUUGGGGUUUGUCAAUGGAAAAGAAAAUGUCGUAUGCAGACGUCUAAAAAUAGACGAAAUGAAAUCGUGCAAAAUACCGAAAAUAAUAUAAACAGUAAUUCAACUAUGCGAUUCAGGGAAUUGGAGGAACAACAACGAUUAACAAACCCAGUAUGUUCAAUUGAAGAAUCACGCAUUUAAAAACGCGUGUCUAUAUCUCCUCAGGGUAUACCAACUUACCAGUAAUAAGAAAUAAGUCCAAAAUUUCGUGUCAUAGUGUCAUCCGAGAUUCAAUUUGCAUUUGAUAUCUGGCGUGUGAAUAUACAUAAUGUGGUUUAUAAUGAGUAAGAUAUUAUUUAUUGUCAACUUUAUUGGAAAAGGAACGUGAUGAAUUUGAGAAAUGUACAAAGAUUUACGUUUUUGUAUUGGACUAUUUAUACUCAAGAAACCCAAGAUAUAUGAGUUCAGUUAUUCUUAAUACUUCAACAGAAAAUA